GAAAAAUGAAAAAGAAAGAAAAAAAGUAAUAUUCAUUAAUCCCCAAAUAUCAAAACACGAACCCUAAAUCACAUCCCUCUCUCCUCUGUGUUCAGAGAAAAAAAAACAGAGCGGAGAAGCCGCAUCUCAGCUGGAUAUAGAAGAAGCUCUUGAAGCUUCCAGAUACGCUAGUCAACCAUAUUCUACUCAUCGCAGAGAGAGGUGGGUGAUACUGGGAAACUUCCUUCUGUAAUUAUUGAGAGGUAUAAUACAGCAGGCGAUGAAGGCACGACUUUUUGUGCGAUUUUUUCCAGAGAUUCGGCGGGCUUGGGCAUCCGUGGACAAUUCUCUGUUUUCUGUGGCGUUUCGACAAAAGGUAAAGUUGGCUUUUUUAUUACAUUUAGUCACAUGGGAAGUUUAGAGCUUAAGAUGCCUUUUUCGUAGUUGUUGCUUUGUCAAUUAGGGAUGGGCAAUGUCGUCAGGCUAUUUGUGCGUAGUUUAGCCAAAUAUAGAUCUGUUUUUUUUUUUGAAGCUAUUCAGGACAGAGGGUCUUGAUCUUCCUGAUGUACUCGUGGAAGUCGAAAAGUGAGGAUCCUCUUUAGACGAGUUGCUAGCAGUUCCUGAACAAGAUGAUUGGAUAUAGAGCGAUGGGAAAUCAACUUCUUGUAUCGCUUUCAUCCUCGAAAUGUACAGAGAAGGUGGCCUGUUUGAUCCAAUCUCUAGUUCCAUCGAAGUCGCUGAAUUCAUGAUCAAGGAUGCUUACAUGCUCAAGUUUUUCGAGAACAAUGCAAGCCGUUUGCCUAAAUGGUGUAACGACAACAAUGAUGUAAAGCUACCGUACUGUCAAAUUCAUGCGAAAUACAGAAUGGAGCUUCCCGGUUACAACACUAUGGAGCCAUACCCACAUAUGAACGAGCACUGCCCGUCUCUGUGUGACUGCGUCCAAAGUACCAUAGACCAAAGAACUGCUAGAACAAAUAUAUUAAGUGUUGUCUGUUUGUUAGGAAUGACUUGGUGUAAUGAUCCACGAAUAUGUGACAAAGUUCACUUCAAAUACAUCUGCAAAGAACGAGAGUGCGACUCAUCAUUGUUGUCUUUGUAAUUUGCGUUUAAUAUUUGGGUUUUAGAUUUUACUUUAUGGAUAAAAUGUUAGGCUCAGAUUUUGGAUUA